GAAUUCCAGAAGCCAUGGAGGGUUCCAUUAUUGUACCCACUCUGCCUCUUCCUGUGUGUUAUCAGUUGCUAGGUUGAUUUGUGGAAUAAGAAAUGGAAUUGAAUGGAAAAAUAGAAUUAAAGGAAGUAAAGGAGGAGGAAGAGGCAGCGUUCCAAAGCAGAGAAACAGAGAUGAGCCAGGGCUUCUGUGCAGCUUCUAGAAGAGUUUCUGAAAGCUGCAGAGAGGUAGACAGAGUGGCCGAGACGACAAUAUGAGGAACAAGCCAGCACAUAGACAUCUCAGAGACUCAGAUUCACUCCACGUACUCCAUCUUCCUGCCACAUUCACAAGAGGAAACCAGCCUUGAGGUACAAUGUGACAUCUCAAUACACAUCUAUAAUCCAUAGUGUUCCAACUAUGACAGUGCGUCCAUCUUGGAUGAACGGGCAUUCUCUAAGGUACCAGGAACAAGACAGCGUAUCAGUGUCUUCCAGACAACCAGAGAAGUCCUCUUCGGUAUCCACUCCAUCUUUCAUCCCUACUCACUCAUCGCUUGCCGAGGAAACCAACCUCCUUUCCUUCCCCUGUCGCAGAAGAGGGAAGGCAGCUCUAACAGCCUUGGCCCCAGUUUGCUUGUAUAAUUAAUGUGGGAUUUUUUCCUCUUCUAGUAAAAAAUGACCUUGUCAAACCAGA